rnacentral:miRNA from 1 species
CUCCAGAUGUUGCUGAAUUACAACUCCCAUGAUUCUAUGACUGAAAUAAAUAGGCUGAGAAUCACGGGAGUUGUACUUCAGCAAAAUCUGGAG